rnacentral:tRNA from 1 species
GUUUCUAUAGUUGAUAACAACGAUGGUUUUUCAAAUCAUUAGUCCUGGUUAAAAUCCUGGUAGAAAUC